CGCUCGAUCCACUGGUUCUGUCCUCAGUCUACUCUCGAGUGCCUCUUUGGAAACUCUAUCUUCAUGUGCUCUCAUUCCAGUCAUGCUUACUUCGACGUUUCCUGCUAUUGCAUGUGAAGAAAUCCUCUCUUCCCCUACUCCGGGUUCUACAACCUGAAAUUCUCUUUGUACCCUUCCAAUACCUCCUCCCAUAUUUUCGAUCUUAAUGUUUUGAUCUUGUGGACAAGUUGAAAUUCCAGAAUCAUUAACAUUGAUUGAAAUUUCUGUGCUUUUAAGUCUUUUGUUGCCACCACACAUAGCUAGAAAGGCUGCUUCUUGAACUUCUUUAGGCACCCCAUGACAAAUGGCAACAUUAUGCCCUUCCUCUCCUGAUAAAUGCCAUUUGAUCCUUGAAAUGGAGGUUUUAUUGGCAAAUGUAUGUGGACAAAACUUACACUUCAUGCUACCAUCUGCCCUAUCUUCAAUAUAAUUCCAAAAUGGAUCCUUUGAUCCAACCAUUUCAACCUAUAGAAAAAAAAAGAGGGUCAAAUAAAGAAUAAAAAUUGAUGGAGGUUACACCAUAUCUGGAUGGAUGAGAAACUACUUCAGCGCUGUUACCCUUAUUUUGCUAUUAAAAUUGAUAGUUAGUUUAUUGCACAAUCAUAGUAAUUUAGUUAGACUUCUUACUUGUAAACCCCUAAGUUGACUUUGGAGGGGAGUGUCAAGGCCAGGAUUUGAGGCAUUUGGCCUAGCAGUUUGAAUUUGCAAUCCUGUGACUUGAAGGUCAUCCUCGGAGUUGGAGCUUACUUUGUCGUUUCUUGCUAUUGCUUGUGAAGAAAUCCUCUCUUCCUCUACUCCAGGUUCUACAACCUGAACUUCUCUAUGUACCCUUCCAAUACCUCCUCCCAUAUUUUCAAUCUUAAUGUUUUGUUCUUGUGGACAAGUUGAAAUUCCAGAAUCAUUAACAUUGAUUGAACUUUCUGUGCUUUUAAGUCUUUUGUUGCCACCACACAUAGCUAGAAAGGCUUCUUCUUGACUUCNNNNNNNNNNNNNNNNNNNNNNNNNNNNNNNNNNNNNNNNNNNNNNNNNNNNNNNNNNNNNNNNNNNNNNNNNNNNNNNNNNNNNNNNNNNNNNNNNNNNCGUGUGACCUCGUCAAAUGCAUCUCCCCGGCUCUCAUUCCUUUAAUUAUUCCCUCAUCGACAAAUAACCUAUCAACUCCUCCCUUUCAAUCUCACUAUCUUCAGGAAAUAAUGCACAGUACAAGAGACAUUGUUGUAGUGCUAAAUCACCUAAUUGAUCGUAACUAAACCUCAAUAACUUGAAUACUUCCGUGUCCCUAAAUUCUGAUUCUCUCAAUUUCUUCAACGUAUUUCUCCACUCAUGUAGGUCAUCCACUCCCCUCAAGCUUCCUGCCACUGUAAUAAUUCCCAAUGCCAAACCAGCACAUUCCAUAACAAUAGCUUUUGCAAUUCCUUCCACUUCUGGUGAAAGUGCUAUGUCACGUCCAAGUUUCUCCAUAAACAAAGUCCAAGCUUCUCCAUUAGAAAGUGGCUUCACUUUGAUUUUGUGGUGGCAAGCCAUCCGAUGACAAACCGUUUCUGAUCGAGUUGUCAUAAUCAGCUUGCAUCCUUUCAACGGGCCAGGAAUUCCCACUUUUUGGAGCUCAAAAUUGUUCCACAAAUCAUCUAAAAUGAGAAUCCAUUUUUGUUUUUUCAUUAGUUCUUUUGAUAGUUUGGCAGCUCCAUGCAGAUCAUCAACCUCCCUGGAAAGGUCAAGAUCAAGAUGUUUAGCAAUAAGAUUCUGCAAUCUAUUAAUGCUGAAAUCUUGAGACACAGUCACCCACCAAACAUAAUUGCAAAUAUCUGGUCUUUGUAGAAGCUCAUUAUGAAUAUGUUGCAGUAUUGUUGUUUUACCAACUCCCCCCAUCCCAUAAAUGCCAAUGGUUAGGACUUCAUCAUUCAUUAACAAAGACCAUAUAACUUUCGUAUUCUCUUUAAAUGCUUGACCCACUGGCUUUGCAGAGCUAGUAGGUAAUGGAACUCCUGCAGAAUUGUUGUAUUUCAGACUUUUAGAAUAUCUAGCUCCUGCGCCAGCCUGCACUACUGAUCUUCCACUACUCUCCUCAUCCUCCUCCUCCUCCACUGGUUCUGUCCUCACUCUAUCCUGCUCAUCAUGCAUAGUUACCUCAUAGUUUACUGAUGAAGCACAAGGUUGAUCAUAACCUCUUCCAAUGUCAAGACAAAAUUGGGAUGAAUCUCCUCGCGGCUCUAGAAGCUGCACUUGCUCUGUUCUUGGUAUAGCCUCAAAUGCAUCAUGCUGAAAAGAUCCUUCACCAGUGUUUUCUAUGCCAUUUUCUAAUUGUAAAUGCGACUGAAUUCUCUCUUCUCCGGGACCUUGUUUCAUGCCCUGAACUCCCACUUGUAUCCUUCCAGCACCCCCUGCCAAAUUGCCAAGUACUGCAUUGCUUUGUUCCAACGCUCGAUCCACUGGUUCUGUCCUCAGUCUACUCUCGAGUGCCUCUUUGGAAACUCUAUCUUCAUGUGCUCUCAUUCCAGUCAUGCUUACUUCGACGUUUCCUGCUAUUGCAUGUGAAGAAAUCCUCUCUUCCCCUACUCCGGGUUCUACAACCUGAAAUUCUCUUUGUACCCUUCCAAUACCUCCUCCCAUAUUUUCGAUCUUAAUGUUUUGAUCUUGUGGACAAGUUGAAAUUCCAGAAUCAUUAACAUUGAUUGAACUUUCUGUGCUUUUAAGUCUUUUGUUGCCACCACACAUAGCUAGAAAGGCUGCUUCUUGAACUUCUUUAGACACCCCACGACAAAUGGCAACAUUAUGCCCUUCCUCUCCUGAUAAAUGCCAUUUGAUCCUUGAAAUGGAGGUUUUAUUGGCAAACGUAUGUGGACAAAACUUACACUUCAUUCUACCAUCAUCAGCCCUUUCUUCAACAUAGUUCCAAAAUGAAUCAUAUCCGACUUGUUGAGUAUUUAAACCCCUAAUUUGACUUUGCAGGGCAGUGUCAAGGCCAGGAUUUGAGGCAUUUGGCCUAGUAGUUUGAUUUUGCAAUCCUCUGAGUUUGAGGUUAUCCAUAUGUGACCUGUAUAAAAAUGAAGUGAUCAUAUUAUAAAACCAAAAAUCAAUGGUGUAUCUAAUUAUCAAAAAGGUAUUAAUAUUGUGUUAAAACACAACAGCUAGAAGUCAAUCAGAACCUAGUAGAGUUUCCAAAGUGCCGAGGCACGACUGUUGUUGUAUAUUGUCUAUGUUAGGAAUUACAGCAGCUUGAUUACAAAAAUAUUGACUCCUGAAUCCAAAAUCAUUCGCAAACAAUAUGAAGCAUUACAAACUUAUGCUUAGUUUGCUGGGUUCAUGUUCAAGCUAUGAUGUUUCUUUCCUGAUUGAAAAAAUCAACUUUUUAACAGAUGGUGGGAAAUCCUUCCAUCUCACCACAAGUACAUGAUGAAUAAUACAGGAGGUGAAAAAAGAAGAGAAAGCACAUAUCAGAGAAGAGUAUAUACAUAUGACAAAUCUGAGAAAAAGAUCAAUUUAUUUAUCAUGGAUUACUUUAAAGAUUCAAACCAUAGUUACAAAUAUAAAAACAAAAACACCAACAAGAUGAAGAAGAUGAAGUACAAAUAAUUUACCUGGAUUCAAGAUGUUCUUCAAGCGCUGGUUUGCUUGAGCAGUAAUCAGCCAAAAAAAGAGAAGAGAAAUCACAGAUCAGAGAAGAAUAUAAGAUUUAGAAAAAUAAUAAAGUUGCAGUAUACAUAAAUCUAGUUCGCACUGGUGAGAUGUGGAAAAGAAAAUAGGUAGAAGAUGAUUAGUACGUCCUGAGGAUUAAAAGAGGAGAAAUCACAGAUCAGAGAAGAUUAUAUGAUUUAGAAAAAUAAUAAAGUUGCAGUGCUGAGGGGGAAAGGAAAACAGAGAAUGGUAAUAAUAAUAAUAAAUAAAUAAUUAUCGUAUUGUUUGAUAGGAAGGAAGGAAGUUGCUAGGAAGGAACCCAGCGCUUACCGACCAAGCAUUAUAUUAUAAGAUAUAGAAAGUUAACGUGUGGACCCCCCUAAUGUUGAAACUUUGAAGAAGCUGCCUGAAAAAUUUAAGUUGCUUGGAGAUUUGAUUAAUCAAACUAAUUUAUUUUUAUUUUUAAUGUUAUUAUAUAAAAAAUAUUAAAAAUAUAUUUUUUCAAGACUAAUAAAUUUUUAAAAUAUAUAAAAUUUUAAAUACAAAAACAAAUUAUAUCUUGAUUGUAUUGUAACAAUCUUCAUCUUUAAAGAUAAAUUACUAGGAAGAUAUGUAGUGUCGAUUUCACAUUGAAAUAAAUGAAAAGAAUAAAAGGAAAUAUUAAAUGAUUUAAUAUUAAAGAACAAAAAUUAAUUUUCAAUGCAUAUUAAUGAAAAAGGUUUAAAUUAUUCAAAGAGCAGAUAGUCGGAAUCCCUGGCACACAUUUAAUAUUUUUAUUAUUUUUAUUUUGUUGAACAACUCAAUUUGAAGUUAAAUUCCCAAAAUUUCCACUUAAAAGUUUAAAAGGUAUGGAUAAUUAAAUCAACAUAAAUGUACCCCUUUUUGAAAAAUCAUUCACCACUUUCUUUUAAAUACGCAAAUGAUUAUCCCUAUUAAUAAAAUUCAAUGAAAACAACAAUAUACAAGUAACAAUAUUACAGCAAAAAAAAAAACUUGAAGGAUGUAGUUCAACUGGUCAAUUCCUGGAUUUAUUUCUUAAAAAUUAUCAGUUUAAAUUUCAAAAAUAUCAGGAUUACCAGAUGUUUACAUGAUCAUUAACUUUAAAUAUCGUAAAAUUAAUGAUUAUCCCUAUUAAUAAAAUUUAAUGACAACAACAAUACACACGAGUAGCAAUAUUACAGCAAAAAAAAUUAAAUCAAUACAGAUAAAUAAAUGAUUCAAGUGUAUUAAAAUAAUUAAUCCAUUCAAUAGCUAGAGAAAGCGUGACUUAAUGCAUAAAAUGCAUAAAUCCUAUGAUUAUUUGGAGAAGAGUUAGAAUAAAUGGGAUAUCUUUUGCCCAAAAAAACAAGCUAUUUUAAGCAUUUUCGAUUCUAUAUUAAAUGUAUAAAGAAAAUUCAAAUUUCCUACCUUUAUAAGAGGUUUUUUUGCAGGGAAGACGACCCAAUGCCAUCCAAACAGAAAGACAAAGACAAAGGCUUGAAAAGUAGAACAAAAGUCCAGAUCAUGGGCUCAAAUGGUUUCAGAUGAAGAUAAAAUUUUCCAAAUUAAAGGUUCUCCCUUUGGAAACCUUGAUCAUGUCGGAUACCAGCAAUGAGGAGAGACUAGUGAUGAUGGAUCAUGUUACGUAACUUUAAUCACGUCGGAUACCACCAACAAUAUUCCACCAGGUAAUUAAUUUCAUUCAGAUAGUUCAUGGGAAAGGUACAAACUGACUUGGUGAAACAAUCAACUAUCACCCAAAUUGAAUUAUAACUCUUCCGAGACAAAUUUGACAUAAAAUCUAUAAUGAGUUUAUAUCAUUUCCAUUCAAAAAUCAAUAAUGAUUGUAAAAGUCAGGAAUCCUCGAUGGUUGUAAAAGCCCUAAUAACUUCUGAUGCUCGCUUUUAAUUCUUUGAUAGGUUAAGUAUUGAGAUACAAACUCAAUAAUGUUUUUUAUGCCAUUUCAUUAGUAAAUUGUUUCAAGUCUAUACAUAUUGUUAAAACUAGGAUGUGCAUUAUAGAUGGUUUGAUAUGCUUCCGUCAUUAUAUCUCUUUUCAAAUCAUUCACCUCAAGCACACAAAAACCUAAUCUCAACAAACCAUCCUUACCAACAACAAAACUUGAAGCUUUUCCUAACUCUAACUCAUCUUGAAUCUUAUAUAGCUGCUCAUCUCUCAUCAAUUGCUUGCUUUAAUCUGGUCUACCAAGUUCGACUUAGUUUGAAAGUGAGCCAACAAUGCUCCCAAUUCUCCAAUCUCAAAACUAACCUUCUCAUCCAACAACUUGUGUAACUCCCUAAUCAAUAGCCUCCUCAUCUCUUGAAUACAAGCCAAACCACCAUAGACUUUAUGCUCAAGGUAUCGGCAACAACAUUCACCUUUCUCGGGUGAUAUUGAAUCAUGCAUUCAUAAUCACUUAAAAAUUCUAUCCACCUUCUUUGUCUUAUAUUUAGAUCUUUUUACAAGCGGUAGAGUAGAGGCAAGCUUACAGACAAGAAGAAACAAGUGAAGGAGCUCUUGUUGCAGUUUCUAAGGAGAGUCGGGCUAAGAAUUUUUACAAGAACAAUCAAGAAGGAAAAAGAGAAAGAGGGAGAAGCUGGCAAUCAAAUAACUGGCAUCAAAACAAUAAAAAUAUAAUCACUCGAGGGAAAGAAAAGAGAGAACAUUCCCUCCCUGUAAAUUCUGUCGGAAAACAAAUCAUCUAGAAGCUUGGUGCUGGCUUAAGAAUGCACAAUGCAGAAGUUGCAAACAAUUUGGUCACAUCCAAAGGUUCUGCAAAAACAAAUCACUAGCAGCGAAACAAGCAUAUAUUGCAGAAAAUUUAGAAGCCAAGGAAAAUCAUUUAUUCAUGGCUACGUUUGAACAGAUGUGCAACACAGCAGAGGUAAACAAUUCAGCAUGGCUUAUUGAUAGUGGUUGCACUAAUCAUAUGACUGCAGAUUUGAGUUUAUUCAAGGAUUUGGAUAAAAGCUACAUGUCCAAAGUUAGAAUUGGCAAUGGAGAGUAUGUGAAGGUUGAAGGCAAAGGGGCGAUUGAAGUUGAAACAAUGUCAGGUACAAAAACUCUAAAAAAUGUGCUUUAUGUACCUAAGAUUAAUCAGAAUCUAGUGAGUGUGGGACAAUUACUGGAAUCUGGUUACUCAAUAUUCUUUAAUAAUGGAGUGUGUGAUAUUAAAGAUAAAAAUGGAGUGCUACUGUUUUCUGCAAAAAUGAUGAACAGAAGUUUUAAUGUUGAUUGGAGAGAAGUAUGUUUGAGUGUUAACACUUAUGAGAACAAUGAAACUGUUCUUUGGCAUAAACGGUUGGGGCACUUCAAUUAUGCAACUUUAAAGAGAAUGGCUGACCUGCAGAUGACUCACGGUUUACCAGAUAUACAGGAACAAAAGAGUAUAUGUGAAGCCUGUCAGUUAGGAAAACAAACUAGAGUUGUUUUUCCUGACAAUGCAUAUAAAGCAUUGUCAAAACUCCAGCUGGUACACACAGAUGUGUGUGGUCCGAUGCACAAUGAAUCUUUGAAUGGUUCAAAGUACUUUCUAUUAUUUGUUGAUGACUAUAGUAGAUUCUGCUGGGUUUAUUUUCUUAAAUCUAAAGUUGAUGUGUUUGCUGAGUUUGUAAGAUUUAAGACAACAGUUGAACUAGAAACAGGAAAUAAACUGAAGAUGUUGAGAUCUGAUAAUAGGGGUGAGUUCACCUCUCAAAAAUUUGAGGGAUAUUUGGCAAAAGAAAUGAUCAAACAUCAGCUAACAGUGCCUUACACUCCACAACAGAAUGGAGUCAGUGAGAGGAGAAACCAAACAUUGAUGGAAAUGGCAAGAUGUUUGCUAUAUGAGAAGAAAAUGCCAUUAAAAUUCUGGGCAGAGGCAGUAAAAACAACAUCCUACCUUCUAAAUCGUAUGACCACAAGAGUGUUGGGAGCUAAGACUCCUUAUGAAAUCUGGUAUGGCUUUAAACCCAAUGUUGAUCAUUUAAAAGUUUUUGGCAGCCCUUGCUAUGUCUUGCAACCUGAAGUUAAGAGAAGAAAACUUGAUCAAAAGGCUGAUAUGGGGAUUCUUAUAGGCUAUAGCACAAAAUCUAAGGCUUAUAAAAUCUAUGAUCUGAAAUCUAAUAAAGUUGUGAUUGCUAGAGAUGUAAAAGUUGCGAAGAAUGGUACAUGGAACUGGGAAGCUGCAUCAGAUGAAGAGACAAAACAGGAGUAUCAAAUUGAACUGGAUGCUACAGAGGAUGAUGAUACUGUCGAUGACAAACCAGUAAAGGGGACAAGGUCCUUAGCUGACAUUUACAGCAGGUGCAAUGUUGCUGAAGCAGAACUAAUAGAUUUUGAAAAAGCUAUCAAUUCACAAGUAUGGAUAGCUGCAAUGAAGGAGGAGCUCACGAUGAUAUAAAAGAAUGAAACAUGGAUGUUGGUUGACAGACCCGUUCACAAAAAGGUAAUUGAUAUGAAAUGGAUUUUCAAAACCAAACUAAAUGCAGAUGGGAGUAUCAACAAGCACAAAGCAAGACUUGUAGUGAAGGGUUAUUCACAAGAGCCAGGUAUUGACUUCAUUGAGAAAUUUGCUCCAGUAUCUAGGCUUGAUACAAUAAAGCUCUUACUUGCUCUAGUAGCACAAAAUGGUUGGCAUAUUUUUCAGUUGGAUGUUAAGUUUGCAUUUCUGAAUUGUGUUCUAAAUGAAGAAAUAUAUGUUGAACAACCUGAUGGCUUUGAAAAGGAGAUCACAUCAAACAAAGUAUAUUUGCUAAAGAAGGCUUUGUAUGGACUUAAACAAGCUCCUAGAGCCUGGUACAGCAGAUUGGAUGGGUAUCUUUUGAGUUUAGGCUUUGAAAGAAGCAUGAAUGAAGUAACUUUGUAUGUGAAAAAUGUUGACAAACAUACUCUGAUCGUAUCAGUAUAUGUAGAUGAUUUAUUGAUUGCAGGAGAUAAGGAGCAACUGGUAGAGGAGUUUAAAACCAACAUAAAGGAUAAGUUUGAGAUGAAUGAACUUGGUUUACUGUCAUACUUCUUAGGCAUGGAAGUAACUCAGUCGGAACAAGGUUAUUUCCUAUGUCAAAAGAGGUUUACAAUGAAGCUACUAAACAAAUUUGCAAUGGAAAAUUGCAAACCAGUCAGUACACCUAUGGUAUUGGGACAAAAGCUAAUGAAGGAGGAUGGAGCUUUCAAAAUUGAUGGAAAAGCCUAAGAAAUUUAGUUGGCAGCUUGUUGUAUUUAAUUGCUACACGUCCAAACAUUGUUUUUGCUGUCAAUUACCUCUCUAGGUUCAUGUAAAGUCCAAGUCAAAUCCAUUUUGUUGCAGCCAAGAGAGUUCUGAGAUAUUUGAAAGGGACCUUAGAGUUUGGAAUGCAUUUUGUGAAAUCAAGUUAUGUUAAACUUGUUGGUUAUUCUGAUAGUGAUUGGGCUGGAAGUGAUGAAGAUAUGAUGAGCACCUCAGGUUAUUGCUUUGCUAUUGGAGGAAGCAUUUUCUGUUGGAACUCAAAGAAGCAAUCAGUAGUUGCACAUUCCACUGCAGAAGCAGAAUACAUAGCAACAUAUGUGGCUGCAAAGCAAUUGAUAUGGCUAAGGAAAAUGCUGAAUGAUCUAGACUUUGAUCAACGAAGUCCCACAAAAUUGUUCUGUGACAAUACAUCAGCAAUAACUAUUUCAAAGAAUUCUGUUUUUCAUGACAAGACCAAACAUAUGAAAAUCAAAUUUCAUACUAUUAGGCAAUUCCAGCAAAAAAGGGAACUAGAGAUGAUAUACUACACUUCAAAAGAGCAAUUAGCAGACCUGUUCACCAAGCCUUUAGCUAAAGAUAGAUUUGAAGAUCUAAAUGAGAGGAUAGGAAUGUGCAGCUUUGGAACCAAGGAGGAGUGUUGAAGUUAUGGCACCAAAGCUGAAAUUAAUGUCUCAACCAUAUGUUAUCUUUCAUUAAUGUCUAUAUUAUCUUUCAUUAAUGUCUAUCUAUUAGUAACAUCAUUAUCUUAAUGUUAUUUAGUGAGUUUUUACUUCUUUAGAUAUGAAACUUAUUUAGGAUAAGUUACAUGACUCUUUAAAUGAAAGAGUUUAUGUUAUUUAUGUUUCUUAAUUUUGUUGUGAUUGAUUUCAUCUAUAAAUAAGAGUUAAGGGAUGGCAGUAACCUAUAGAAAAACAUUCUGCUCUUUGUUCUUAGUUACAAGUUCUUUAUUCUUUGUUUUUCUAAUUAUCAUUAACAUUCAGUUCUUUAUAUACCUAUUAUCAACAGUUGCAAGAUGUUUAGCUCCAGAUGAAUCGAUACAAUCAGAAAAGGAAGCACUGAUCAUCAGAGAGGUUUAAGAAAUUUGUUGAGGGAAAUCGGGAAAUCAAUGGUAUAAUGAAAUGAGAUUUGGAAGAGAAUGUUACGGUAGCAAAGAUUAUUGUAUUGUUUGAGAAGAAGGAAGUUGCUAGGAAGAAAGCCACAAACUUUACCUACCAAGGACUAUAUUACAAGAUACAAGUUGCUCGACACCUCUAAUUUGCUUUUCUUUUGUCUAGCGCUGCAUAUAAUUAAAAUCUUCAACAAAAGAAUCAGAAGCUAAUUGCUGACUGAGUUAACGUGUAGACCCACCCCAUUCUUGAAACUUUGAAAAAGCAGACCUGAAAAUGUAAGAGCCUGAAUCUUAGCUUCAAGAGCUGUAAGUACUACGUUGGGAUUGUUGCAAAUUAUUGACCGUCAUUAUCUGAUUCACUCCAACUUCCAUUCCCUAAAAAUUUAACGAAGAACAUCAUUAGCCAAAAUAAAAAAUAGUGCUUAUUAAUGUAACUAUAUUAAAAAUAUUGUAAGCAUAUUAUAUAGAAAAUAUUGUAAUUAUAUUUGUGUAUUAUAACCUUUAUCAUUAUUAUUAUAUAUCAUCAUAUACAUAUACACAUAUAUAUACACACACGCACGCAUAUAAAAGUUCACUAAUCAAUAGGUUAAACAUCCUAAUUAUUUUCAAUUUGAUAUCAAAGUUUUCUACCAUGAACUCUUUUCUCUCUCUCUCUUGCUGCCGGGCUUCUCUCUGUUUUUCCUAAAUGGAUUCUACCGCUGCUGCUAGGGGUGAUCAUUUUCGGCAAAAUGAAAAUGCAAAAUGGGAUGAGGGGCGUACCUGCUUCUAAAAACGGCGAAGAUGGUUACAGCGUGGUGUUGCCUCUCGUCUACUAAAGACCUUUCCUUCUGCUUUUCUUUGUUCUGUGCUAACCGUCUGCUUUCGUUUUCCAACAGCUUUUGAGAUGAUGAAGGAACGAAGAAGAUGAUGAAGACGCUGGCUGGAUUUAUUUUGACUGAUUUCUAGGUUGUUCUUUUUCUGCAGGAACGAAGGCAAUGUUGUUCCUCUGCUUUUCUCUCCUUCUCUUCUCUGUGUAUAUUUUUUUGCUCUUUUUUAUUCGCUCUAUUUUUGCUCUCUUUCUGGGUCUGUUUCUUGUCAGCUCUCCCCUGUUUCAUUCUUCCCCUCUUUCCUCUGUUUCGGUUCAUCCUUUUAUAGAGCUCUAGAUGCUUGCCCCCAACUAGUCUUGCCUUUGCAUGCUGUUAAACAAUCCACGAACGAGAUCGUGGGCAAGAGACGUGGUCCACGAUUCAGACCAAAAUCACUGCACCCUUUCCAACUCCCUUGUUGAAUCAGGAUGAAGAAGACGAAUACGACUGUUCCACUUAGCAACGGUGUCGUUUCAGCAGAAAUGGACAUUUUUAUUUUCACCCCUGAACUUUUGGAAAUUUAACAAUUGGGUCCCUGGUAUCAUUAAUCAAACAAUUCCAAGUUCAAUUAACUUUUAAAAUUUAACAAUUAGAUCUUCAAUUUCAUUAAUCAAACAAUUUUCAGUUCAAUUAAGUUUCUAAACUUUUAAUUCAUAUUAUCUUGGCUUAAAUUUCAAUUUAUUUUUAUUUUUAUUAUUUCACAUAUUUAUUUUUUAAUAAAAUAGAAGGAGUUAAAAAUUGGAUUAGGACACCACCACUGACACAAAAAUCUAUACUUUUUAAAAUAAAAAAAAUGAAUUCCUGAACCUAGUAGAAGAACUGUGGCAAAAAAAGCUUAAGGAUUCCAACCCCAGCACAUGAAUGAGGAGAGACUAGUGAUGGGAAUAUCCUUGUUGAUUUAAAGGACUAUUUUCAUCAUUCAUGUCGAAAAUAAUUAUGUUUUGCACAUGAUUUUUAGAUUACCAAUACUCAAACUCUACAAAGGGACGAAGGACAUCCUUUGCAUUAGGAUGCUCCCACUCUACUACUGACUCCCACCAUUCUUUUGGAUAUACUAUGAUUUCUUCAAGAGAAGGGGGAGGAGAUGGCUGGCCAUUUUCAAGCAACGGAAGACAAAUUGCCAUCCUCUUCAGCUUCUCACAAUGCAUUACACUAAUAGUUUCAAGAGAAUUGCAAGUCAGUUUUGCACUGCAAAUGCUUUUCAGUUCUGGUAAACCAAACAAUUCCAAACUUCUUAACUUUGGGAGAAUGAAUCCCGUGAUGGAAUUGGAGGUGCUGCUUUCUUCAUCUGUUGUUCCUACUAUCUCCUCCAUUUUCUCACAAUCACGAACAUAAAUGUCUUCCAGGUUUACGAAGUUUGGCAGCAACACAAGUGGGAACAACUUCUUCAUAUUGUUACAUCCACCACAAUAAAACUCUUUAAGACCAGAAAACGUACCAUUAUAUGAUGGCAAUCGUGGUGGAGUAUAGCAGAACCAAGAAGAUGAAACCAAGCUCUCCAUGUUAUUGCAAUCCCGAAUCAUGAAUGCCUCCAGUUCAGUUGCAUUCUCUAAUGACAAAACAUCAUAUAAACUUCUUGCAUCGAUGCGUUCACAAACCAGUCUUUGAAUACCAUUAAAGAACUUGACCUUAAAAUCUCCAUCUCCGUUGAUACUCAAAUUACCCAACCCAACUGUUUUGGUAAUAUCAUCAAUGUUUGCAUCCAUGUUUGCCCAAUAAAAAUCAUCCACCAUUCCUACUAAAAUUUUAUAUGUGCUUAAUGAUUGAAUCCCAUCCCGAGAUCUGAGAUACUCCACGAAGUCAGAGAAACCUUCGAAAUGGCAUUCCAAAGUUUCCAAAUUUCUCAAGGAUCCUACUUCCUUUCCUUUAACUGUUAUCGGAGCAUAACAGUUCCCCAUAAACUCUUCUAGUACAAAGACUUGCAGGUGAGAGAGGUUUGGUAAUAUCCCACUAGGAAACUCCUUUUCACCACAUCCAUUCAUUCUAAGAUGCCUCAGGUUGGUUAGGCAUUCCAUUCCUUGCGGCAUCUUUUCAAGUGUAGUGUCAAAGAGAUCCAACCUCUUCAGUGCCCUGAGCUUCUUUAAUGAUGGAACAUGUCUUAAGUUGUAACAAUAACUGAGCAAUAAUGCAGUGAGACUCACCAAAUCAGAGACAGAGUCUGGCAAAUUUUCAAUACCUGUCCCAGACAGAUUGAGGACCUUGAGCCCAUGCAAUUGCUUGAAAAAUGAAUCACCAAUAAAUCUCAAACCGCCAUUAGCACAUAGAAAUAGAGUUGAUAGAUAGGGACACCUUGGUGAAUAGCUGGAAGGAAUUUCUUUGAUCUUGUUUCGUAUUAGUGAGACUCGUGUGAGAUUCUCCGUCCACUCCUCUGCAUCUGGCAACUCUUUUAAUUGCGCACCUGCUUUAACCAUGACUUGAGAGUUGUCUUGUAGUAUAUGGAUGGCCAUGUCCCUAAUCAAGUCAUGCAUCUUGACACCAUACUCCAUUUUAGCACUUUCCAAUAAGCAGACAUAUUCAAGUCUAUUAAGCAUCGUGUGGCCCUCGUCAAAUGCAUCUCCCCUGCUCCUCUUUCCUUUAAUUAUUCCCUCAUCUAUCAAAUAACCUAUCAACUCCUCCCUUUCAAUCACACCAUCUUCAGGAAAUAAUGCACAGUACAAGAGACAUUGUUGUAGUGCUAAAUCAUCUAACCGAUCAUAACUAAACCUCAAUAACUUGAAUACUUCCUUGUCUCUAAAUUCUGAUACUCUCAAUUUCUUCAAUGUAGUUCUCCACUCAUGUAGGUCAUUCACUCCCCUCAAGCUUCCUGCCACUGUUAUAAUUCCCAAUGGUAAACCAGCACAUUCCCUUGCAACAGCUUUUGCAAUUCCUUCCACUUCUGGUGAAAGUGCUACAUCACCUCCAAAUUUCUCCAUGAACAAAGUCCAAGCUUCUUCAUUAGAAAGUGGCUUCACUUUGAUUUUGUGUUUGUGCUGGCAAGCCAUCCGAUGACAAACCGUUUCUGAUCGAGUUGUCAUAAUCAGUUUGCAUCCUUCCAAUUUUUCAGGAAUUCCCACUUUAUGUAGCUCAAAAUUGUUCCACAAAUCAUCUAAAAUGAGAAUCCAUUUUUGUUUCUUCCUUAAUUCUUCUGACAAUUUAGCAGCUCUAUGCAAAUCAUCAUCUUCACUUGGAAGGUCUAAAUUAAGACGUUUAGCAAUAAGAUUCUGCAAUCUAUUAAUGCUAAAAUCUUGAGACACAGUCACCCACCAAAUAUGAUCACAAAAAUCUAGUCUUUGUAGAAGCUUAUUAUAAAUAUGUUGCAGUAUUGUUGUUUUACCAACUCCCCCCAUCCCAUAAAUGCCAAUAAUUGGGACUUCACCGUCCAUUAACAAAGACCAUAGCACCUUCGUAUUUUCUUUAAAUGCUUGGCCCACUGGCUUUAUAGAGCUAGUAGGUAAUGGAACUCCUCUAGUCUUGUUGCAUUUCAGACUUUCAGAAGAUCUAGCUCCUGCGCCAGCGUGCACUAAUGAUCUUCCACUACUCUCCACAUCCUCCUCCUCCACUGGUUCUGUCCUCACUCCAAUGAUUUCCUGCUCAUCAUGCAUAGUUACGUCAUUGUUUACUGAUGGAGCAGAAGGUUGAUCAUAACAUCUUCCAAUGUGAAGACAAAAUUGGGAUGAAUCUCCUCGCGGCUCCAGAAGCUGCACUUGCUCUGUUCUUGGUAUACUCUCAAAUGCAUCAUGCUGAAAAGAUCCUUCACCAGUGUUUUCCAUGCCAUUUUCUACUUGUAGAUGCGACUGAAUUCUCUCUUCUCCGGGACCUUGUUCCAUGCCCUGAACUCCCACUUGUAUCCUUCCAGCACCCCCUGCCAAAUUGCCAAGUACUGCAUUGCUUUGUUCCAACGCUCGAUCCACUGGUUCUGUCCUCCGUCUGCUCUCGAGUGCCCCUUCGGAAACUCUAUCUUCUUGUGCUCUCAUUCCGUUCAUGCUUACUUCGUCGUUUCCUGCUAUUGCAUGAGAAGAAAUCCUCUCUUCCCCUACCCCGGGUUCUACAACCUGAACUUCUCUUUGUACCCUUCCAAUACCUCCUACCAUGUUAAUCUCAAUGUUUUGUUCUUGUGGACAAGUUGAAAUUCCACAAUCAUUAACAUUGACUGAACUUGCUGUGAUUUUUUGCCUUUUGUUGCCACCACACAUAGCUUGAAAGGCUGCUUCUUGAACUUCUUUAGUCACCCCACGACAAAUGGCAACA
rnacentral:lncRNA from 1 species